rnacentral:rRNA from 1 species
GACAGAGGAGGCAAGCGUUGUCCGGAAUCAUUGGGCGUAAAGAGCGCGUAGGCGGCCAGAUAAGUCCGGUGUGAAAGUCACAGGCUCAACCUGUGAAUGCCGCUGGAAACUGUCUGGCUAGAGUCCGGAAGGGGCGAGUGGAAUUCCUGGUGUAGCGGUGAAAUGCGCAGAUAUCAGGAGGAACACCAAUGGCGAAGGCAGCUCGCUGGGACGGUACUGACGCUGAGGCGCGAAAGCGUGGGGAGCAAACAGG